rnacentral:rRNA from 1 species
UACAGAGGGUGCAAGCGUUAAUCGGAUUUACUGGGCGUAAAGCGUGUGUAGGUGGCUCGCUAAGUCGGUUGUGAAAUCCCUGGGCUCAACCUGGGAAUUGCAGUCGAUACUGAUGAGCUCGAGUUCGGUAGAGGGUGACGGAAUUCCCGGUGUAGCGGUGAAAUGCGUAGAUAUCGGGAGGAACAUCGAUGGCGAAGGCAAUCACCCGGGCCUGAACUGACACUGUGACACGAAAGCGUGGGUAGCAAACAGG